GGAAAUUAAAAGUUGAACAAACUUCUUUUUUUAAUAUCUGCAUUAAAAAAGCAUCCUAAUCCAACAUCGAGGUCGCAAACUUUUUUGUCAAUAUGAUCUAUCAAAAAAUAUAACGCUGUUAUCCCUAGAGUAUUUAACAUAUAAUCAUUAAUAAUGGAUCAUUUUAUUUCUAAAAAGUUUAAAAUAUUUUUUAGCCGCCCCAGCCAAAAUUUUUUCAAUAGUAAUUACAUAUUGAAUAAAAUUUAAUAAAUUCAUAGGGUCUUCUUGUCCUUAAUAUUAAUAAUUGUUUCUGCACAAAUUAAAAAAAUUUCAAUUUUUAAUUUAAAAAAAGUUUUUUUCUGGACUUCCAUUCUCUUAGCAUUCAAUUAAAAUCUUAUUUCAAUACCUUUGUAUAGUCAAAAUA
rnacentral:rRNA from 1 species